CCUCCCGUCUGGCCCCGGCCCGCGGCGUCCCGAAGGCCGCCCUGCCCUCCCCCGACCUCCCGCAGUUCCUUCACCCCUGAGGCCCGGGGCCCAGGAGAGGGGGAAACCCGGGAAGGGAGUCAGAAAGUUUUGUUGGGAGUUUGAGGCUUGCUGCGGACGCGGGAGCUCUCGCUGCUCCGCUCUCCUCCAGCACGCCCCCCAACUUAACCCCUUCCCUCCCGCAGUAGGUUCGCGGCCUGGAGGGAGUUCCCGGGACGCGUUGGCUCUCAGGCCCCUGCACUGCUAACCCCGCUCACCUCGGCCGGGGACCCGCGGGCUCCGGACGUCCGACCCGCCGCGGCUGGGCGGAGCGGCUACGCGCCCCUUUUGGAGCUUCCUCCCUUGGGAGUGGGUGUCUGCGGUUUUGGUGUGAGGAGAAGACUGGCGCUCUCUUUACCACAUCCUGUGCCCUGGAUGGCCGCUGAGUAAAAGUUUGACGAAUGAAAAUCAAAGGGACAGAAGGCAUGGGUUCGAGACAAUUUGGCAUUAAACGGACACUUCUCUUGGAUGCCACCAGGACUGGGAAAGACUGAAAAGGAAAUGACUUUUGUGAUGUGACUCAGUUUAUCUAGUGCCCUGUCGGGAUGUGAUUAGCAGAGCAGCAGGGGGAAUUGGAGGCAGAGAAGUCUUCCCAGAGGAGAUAGGACUUCAGUUGGGAACUGAGGGAUGCCGAGGAGCUGGAGUGCCACCCAGGCUUCUGCGCAGGAAGUGACUGCUGUGGGACCGGCUUGUCUGGACCCCUGGCUCAAGGAGAAGCUGACCAGCCUUCCAGCCUCACAGUUCUAGCCACAUUUUCUGCGCUCUGCUCCCAGCGAGGCCUUUCUCCAACGGGCUUUGCUCGGGGUCCAGCCCUCGUCCUCCCCAGGCCUCAGCCCCCCCCCCCAUCUGUGAGACUUCACGGAGCACUUCCAGUGACCUCCCAACACUGCUGUUUAUAAGCCCCAUGCUGCCCGGGAAGUGGUGCUGUCUUCCUCCGCAUUUCACAGAGAGGAAACUGAGGUUCAGAGAAUUUCCAUCACUUGCUCCAAAUUACCCAGCCAGGAAACGGUGGGCCUGGUGUUUGAACCCAGGCAGCAUGACCCAGCCCUGGCCUGAGGUCCUCGCCAUCAUUCAUCUCCUCCAUCGUCAGGUCAGGCCGGGAUCAUUCUCCUUUUCCCACACUUGGGGAAACUCAGGCCCAGACAGGCGACAUCUCUUGCGCAGGGGUGCAAAGCUGAGGUGGGUCUUGAGCCCUGCCGGGUGCCAUGUUGGCCAGCCCUCCUGCCUCUUCCCACGGAUGCCCAGCACCUCUGCAGAUAUGCAGCUGCCCCCCGGAAGUGCUGCAGGCUCUAGGGGUUGAGAUCAAGAGCAGAGCGGGGCGUGGCUGUCAGCUUGGAAGAAGCAAAAAGGCUCCUGCCAGUAAAAGGAAGAAGUGAAAUGAGAGUGUGGGGUGCGGGCGUGGGGUGAGCGAGCAGAGAGGUUGCCAGCAGCUGAGAGCUUCCCAACUUCCCUUUCUGCCUUCAGAAGACAGCGGCGUGACAGCGGGACAGCAGCGGCCACACAGAUGAGAAGAAGUGAAGCACAGAAGGGUCAGGCUCCCUGCUUAAUGUCACAGCUCGGGCACUGAAUACUGGAACUGGUUGGCACAUGUACAUCUUGCAAAGGCUCUCUUCUGCGCGUCACCUGUCUCCUCAUCCUCUAUUGGCCUAAAUAGGGCUUCGUUCAUCAAUACAGCAGCGCAGCCCCCCAGUCAUCUUUAGGAGGCGGCAGGGCACCGCGGGGAAAGUGCGGGACUUGGAGUCUGGGUUUGGGGCUUGGCUGAACCCCUGGCCUGCCGAAGAACCCCAGGCAAGCUCGUGGGUGAUAUCCAGUUUUGCCACAGUUGGAGCCGUCUUGGGAGUCAGGUCGGGAGCUGGUUCUUGGAGGAGACCGGGCACAGGGCAUGGAUCGCUGGGGGCCCUUUUCUUCUGCCUGUGCCUGGUGACUUCCCAGAGCUGGACGGCAGAAUCGUCCCAAGACGCCCUGAGCUGGAUGGAGAAGAUGGAGGUGGCGGCCAAGAAACGGAGCCUGAUUUCCUUUGCUGACUUCAUCCAUGGCCUGGAAUGGAGGCUGCUCAACGUCAGCUUUGGGGGCCACAACCUCACCUUGAAGACACACACCAUCCAGACGCUGGCCUUCAAGCUGGGCUGCAACUUCACCGGCCUCUCACUGAGCAGUGACACUCUGGAGCGUGUCCCCCAGGCCCAAGCCCGGCACGCCAUGCAGUUCCCGGCUGAGCUGACCCGGGAUGCCUGCAGGACCCACACCAGGGAGCUGCGUCUCAUCUGCAUCUACUUCUUCACCAGCCACUUUUUCAAGAAAGACAUCAACUCAUCUCUGCUCAAUAACUAUGUUCUGGGGGCCCAGCUGGGUCAUGGACCUGUGAACAACCUCAGUGAUCGGGUGAACAUCAGCUUCUGGCACAAUCAAAGCCUGGAAAGCUACACGGUGACAUGUGUUUUCUGGAAGGAGGGAGCCAGCAAGGACUACUGGGGGGCCUGGAGCCCUGAGGGCUGUCUCACAGAGCAGCCUUCACCUUCCCAGGUGCUCUGCCGCUGCAACCACCUCACCUAUUUUGCUGUUCUCAUGCAACUCUCCCCAGCCCCGGUCCCUGCCACGUUGCUGGCACCCCUCCUGUAUAUCUCCCUGGUGGGCUGCAGCAUCUCCAUCGUGGCCUCGCUGCUCACUGUCCUGCUGCAGUUCUAUGCCAGGAAGCAGAGUGACUCCACAACACGCAUCCACAUGAACCUAAACUCCUCCGUGCUGCUCCUCAACGUCGCCUUCCUGCUGAGCCCGGUGUGGGCCGUGCCCGGGUCAGCAUGCACGGUGCUGGGCGCCACCCUGCACUACAUGCUGCUCAGCUGCCUCACCUGGAUGGCCAUCGAAGGCUUCAACCUCUACCUCCUGCUCGGGCGCGUCUACAACAUCUACUUCCGCCGAUACGUGCUCAAGCUCUGCGCCGUGGGCUGGGGGGUCCCGGCCUUCCUGGUGCUGCUGCUUCUUGCCACCAACAGCUCAGUUUAUGGACCCCACAGGAUCCCACUCUCCGAUAGCCAGAGAAAUGGCACGGACUUCCAGAACAUGUCCAUAUGCUGGGUGCGGAACCCCGACGUGCACAGUGUCCUGGUCAUGGGCUAUGGUGGCCUCAUGUCCCUUUUCAACCUGGUGGUGCUGGUCUGGGCGCUGCGGGUCCUGCGCAGACUGCGGGUGCAGGAGAAGCCGCCGGGCCCCCGGGCCUGCCGGGACACGGUCACUGUGCUGGGCCUCACCGUGCUGCUGGGCACCACCUGGGCCUUGGCCUUCUUCUCCUUUGGCGUUUUCCUGCUGCCCCAGCUCUUCCUCUUCACCAUCUUCAACUCAUUCUACGGUUUCUUCCUCUUCCUGUGGUUCUGCUCCCAGAGGUGCCGCGCGGAGGCGGAGGCGGAGGCAGAGAUGGAGGCAUUCAGCUCCUCCCAGGCGAUGCAGUAAGCUGGGCUGUCUGGACCUCCUGGCCUGGAACCUGCGGCCUCUCUGACUGUCUGCAGCCUGAGGCUCCGGCUUCUGCCAGACAAGGUGGCAGGCUAGCUGCUGGACACCAGAGGCCACUGUCACCUCCAAGGGGGGCUUUUCCACCUCUACAGCUCCCCAGGCCCAGAGGCCGGUCGCCGUUGUAGAGACUCACCAUGGCCCUUGACCUGUCAGACCCAGUGGGAAGCUCACUCAGGAAGCCAGCGCUCUUCCGGGGCUGCACACCAGGCGGCGCUGUUGGCCCAUGUCAGAAGCCACUGGGUCCAACACCGUGUCUGGAGAUGCUGUGAUCACCUGCCUGUGUGUAGACAUGACGCCCCAGAUGGAGAGGUCCUGCCUCCAGGACUGCCUGCUGAGUGGCUGGCAGCAGGAACGCCAGCACUGUCUGCACAGCCAUUUCUCUCUUUCCUGAUGCAGCCCCCGCGCUGACUCUUGGUGCCUUGUGCUCUGGGCGUAUCUGGUACUAGAGCAAAGGCUGGGAUAGGUCCCUAGGGGCGCACUCCAGGCCCUCAGACAGGUUUUAAUGACUUUGAACAUCACAGGGAAGGAAUUGGAGCUGGAUCAUUUUCUCCCAAGGGGCUCCUCUGCCCUCUGUUCAUUCCUUGAUAGGAAUAGCCCUUCGCCAGGUGGUGAGUGGUGUGGGCUCUGGAGCCAGACUGCCUUGGAUCAAAUGCCAGCUCUGUCACUUGUUAGCUGUAUGACAGUGAACAAGGCUGUCUACCUCUCUGUGCCUGAGUUUUCCCAUCUUGUAAAAUAGAGGUAAUGGGACUACCUGUUUUAAAGGUUAAUAAAACAAUUCAUAUACAGAGGCGUAGCAGAGGGUAAGCGCUCAGUAAAUGGUGGUUGUUAUCAUUA